UCCAAGGGCAUAGUGGUUUGAGGGCUGGACUAUGACUCUGGAGAUCAGGGUUCGAAUCCUUGCUCAGCCAUGGAA